GAUGAACGCUAGCUACCGGUUUAACACAUGCAAGUCGAGGGGAAACGACAUCGAAAGCUUGCUUUUGAUGGGCGUCGACCGGCGCACGGGUGAGUAACGCGUAUCCAACCUGCCCACCACUUGGGGAUAGCCUUGCGAAAGUAAGAUUAAUACCCGGCGGUCUCGGAUGGCCGCAUGACUAUCCGAGUGAAGAUUUAUCGGUAUGAGAUGGCGAUGCGUCCCAUUAGCUAGUUGGUGAGGUAAUGGCUCACCAAGGCAUCGAUGGGUAGGGGUUCUGAGAGGAAGGUCCCCCACAUUGGAACUGAGACACGGUCCAAACUCCUACGGGAGGCAGCAGUGAGGAAUAUUGGUCAAUGGACGAAAGUCUGAACCAGCCAAGUAGCGUGCAGGAUGACGGCCCUCUGGGUUGUAAACUGCUUUUAGUUGGGAAUAAAAAGAGGGACGUGUCCCUUAUUGUAUGUACCAUCAGAAAAAGGACCGGCUAAUUCCGUGCCAGCAGCCGCGGUAAUACGGAAGGUCCAGGCGUUAUCCGGAUUUAUUGGGUUUAAAGGGAGCGCAGGCGGCGGCGUAAGUCAGUUGUGAAAUCGUGCGGCUUAACCGUGCAAUUGCAGUUGAUACUGCGUCGCUUGAGUGCACACAGGGAUGUUGGAAUUCAUGGUGUAGCGGUGAAAUGCUUAGAUAUCAUGAAGAACUCCGAUCGCGAAGGCAUAUGUCCGGAGUGCAACUGACGCUGAGGCUCGAAAGUGUGGGUAUCAAACAGG
rnacentral:rRNA from 1 species